GACAGAGGUGCCGAGCGUUAGGCGGAAUCACUGGGCUUAAAGCGUGUGUAGGCGGACUUCUAAGUACCUUGUGAAAUCCCAUGGCUCAACCAUGGAACUGCUUGGUAUACUGGUUGUCUUGAGCCACUUAGGGGCAGUCGGAACAGAUGGUGGAGCGGUGAAAUGCGUAGAUAUCAUCUGGAACGCCAAAGGUGAAAACAGACUGCUGGGAGUGAUGCUGACGCUGAGACACGAAAGCUAGGGGAGCGAACGGG
rnacentral:rRNA from 1 species